GUAGGAUCAAACAAAUAGACUUGACACCUACAAGGUCAGGCAGUGCUGUGACAGAGGGAGAUGCCAAAUUACACUGGACUGAAAAUAUUUGUUGGGCCCUUUUUGUUCUUCAGGGCCAGGUCUCCUGCUGUUUCAGCCCUUAACAUGCUCCCAAGCAAGACUGAACCUGUGGCGGUUUGCUAAGGUGUAGCAGAGAGAACACUCGAUUUGGAGUCAGAACAACUGGGUUAAAGUCUCUGGUCUUCUUCCACUUGACAUCUGUGGGCACCUCCCGGAGCUCCAGGUGCCUCACUCUUAGAGGAUGCUUGUUCCUAUGUUACAAGUGUGCAGCCAUCAGGUGGGUCCUGAGCAGAAAUCCUGACACGGCUUUGUCCUCAGCACGUGCAUUUUUCUGAUGACUGGGAGAGUUGGAAGGAGACCUGGAGAUCACCGAAGGCAGUCUCUGAUUUACGGAUAAAGAAACUGACGACUAGAAAGCUUCAUUGUCUGUGCUCACCCAACAG
rnacentral:lncRNA from 1 species